rnacentral:tRNA from 1 species
UAGAUAAAAGCCUGUUGGAUUUAGGUGUUUAGCUGUUAACUAAAAUGUUUAUGGGAUCGAAGCCCAUUUAUCUAG